UAACCCGCGAGGGGCGGUCUGGAGGAAGCCGGACGAAAAACUGCGAGCUGACGGAUAGAAACACCAUAGAAGGCAGAGUCCGGGGGCGAGCUAGCACAAGAUAGCGAAGCCCAAGUUACAGGUGAACGAUCAAAAGAGUCGGGUUUGUCCAGUAAGCCAGUGCAAGUUCCUUGG
rnacentral:ncRNA from 1 species